UCAAAGAUGGGCGCAAGCCUGUUCUAGCCCUGCCGCGUUGAGCGAUGAAGGCCUUAGGGUCUGUAAAGCUCUUUCAGGGGGGAAGAUAAUGACUGUACCCCCAGAAGAAGCCCCGGCUAACUCCGUGCCAGCAGCCGCGGUAAUACGGAGGGGGCUAGCGUUGUUCGGAAUUACUGGGCGUAAAGCGCACGUAGGCGGACGGAGAAGCCAGAGGUGAAAUCCCAGGGCUCAACCUUGGAACUGCCUUUGAAACUUUCUGUCUUGAGGUCGAGAGAGGUGAGUGGAAUUCCGAGUGUAGAGGUGAAAUUCGUAGAUAUUCGGAAGAACACCAGUGGCGAAGGCGGCUCACUGGCUCGAUACUGACGCUGAGGUGCGAAA
rnacentral:rRNA from 1 species